UACAGAGGUCUCAAGCGUUGUUCGGAAUCACUGGGCGUAAAGCGUGCGUAGGCUGUUUCGUAAGUCGUGUGUGAAAGGCGCGAGCUCAACCCGCGGACGGCACAUGAUACUGCGAGACUAGAGUAAUGGAGGGGGAACCGGAAUUCUCGGUGUAGCGGUGAAAUGCUUAGAGAUCAUACAGAACACCGAUUGCGAAGGCAGCUUACCAAUCUAUAUCUGACGUUGAGGCACGAAAGCGUGGGGAGCAAACAGG
rnacentral:rRNA from 1 species